rnacentral:rRNA from 1 species
AGCGAACGCUGGCGGCAGGCCUAACACAUUCAAGUCGAACGGACCCUUCGGGGUUAGUGGCGGACGGGUGAGUAACACGUGGGAACGUGCCUUUAGGUUCGGAAUAGCUCCUGGAAACGGGUGGUAAUGCCGAAAGUGCCCUUCGGGGGAUAGAUUUAUCGCCUUUAGAGCGGCCCGCGUCUGAUUAGCUAGUUGGUGAGGUAACGGCUCACCAAGGCGACGAUCAGUAGCUGGUCUGAGAGGAUGACCAGCCACACUGGGACUGAGACCCGGCCCAGACCCCUACGGGAGGCAGCAGUGGGGAAUCUUGCGCAAUGGGCGAAAGCCUGACGCAGCCAUGCCGCGUGAAUGAUGAAGGUCUUAGGAUUGUAAAAUUCUUUCACCGGGGACGAUAAUGACGGUACCCGGAGAAGAAGCCCCGGCUAACUUCGUGCCAGCAGCCGCCGUAA